AACGAACGCUGGCGGCGCGUUUUAAGCAUGCAAGUCGAGCAGUAAGGUCCUUCGGGACCCCAGAGCGGCGGACGGGUGAGUAACACGUGGAUAAUCUGCCUUCCAGUCCGGGAUAGCACAUGGAAACAUGUGAUAAUACCGGAUACGAUGUGCCUGCCACAUGGCGGGUGCAGGAAAGGUCCUGCGGGAUCGCUGGGAGAUGAGUCCGCGGCCCAUUAGCUGGGUUGGGCGGGGUAAACGGCCCCACCGAAGGCGACGAGUGGGUAGCCGGCCUGAGAAGGUGGACGGCCACAGUUGGGACUGAGA
rnacentral:rRNA from 1 species